rnacentral:rRNA from 1 species
UACGUAGGGGGCAAGCGUUGUCCGGAAUCAUUGGGCGUAAAGAGCGUGUAGGCGGCCCGGUAAGUCCGCUGUGAAAGUCCAGGGCUCAACCCUGGGAUGCCGGUGGAUACUGUCGGGCUCGAGUCCGGAAGAGGAGUGUGGAAUUCCUGGUGUAGCGGUGAAAUGCGCAGAUAUCAGGAGGAACACUAAUGGCGAAGGCAGCACUCUGGGACGUGACUGACGCUGAGACGCGAAAGCGUGGGGAGCAAACAGG